AGGCUUAACACAUGCAAGUCGAGCGAGAAUUGGGGCUUCGGCUCCAUAGUAAAGCGGCGGACGGGUGCGUAACACGUGGGUAAUGUGCCCUCUUGCGGGGGAUAACAGUCCGAAAGGAUUGCUAAUACCGCAUACGUCGGCGAGGUCUUCGGAUCUCGCCGGGAAAGGUGGCCUCUCCAUGGAAGCUACCACAGGAGGAGCAGCCCGCGGCCCAUCAGCUAGUAGGCGGGGUAAUGGCCCACCUAGGCUAAGACGGGUAGCUGGUCUGAGAGGAUGAUCAGCCACACUGGAACUGAGACACGGUCCAG
rnacentral:rRNA from 1 species